UUCGAGCAGAGACGUUCCAUGGUGGAAUAAAACUCUUGAGAAGCUUAGGAAAACUGCGCGUAGGGAAUUCAAUCGUGCCAAGCGAACCGGCGAUUGAAGCCUAUACAGAAAGGCCCUGACGAACUACAACAAAGAAAUAAGGUCAGCCAAACGGAAAUCGUGGAUUCUAAUAUGUGAAAGCAUAGAGAAUACACCCGUAGUGGCCAGACUCCAAAAAACUCUUUCAAAAGACCACUCCAAUGGUGUGGGUAGCCUCCGAAAGACGGAUGGUUCGCUCACUGUAGAGCCUAGCGAUACACUGAGCGAAUUGUUAAAGAUCCACUUCCCAGAUUAAAUCCCUGAGUCGAGCAUCGGCGACCAAGACACUGGAAUUUCUCUCUCAGAUCCACAAGUGAUCCAAUCAUGGGCAGUGUACGCAGAAUAUGCCACCGCAAGCGAAAAAUAGGCAACAAAGAAAGCACGGCAACAACGCUUUGUUUUUUCGUUAGCAGAUAAUGACAAAAUCGCUCCCGAGUUUGUUCACAACAAAAACGGUAGGAAUAUUUGUCUCGUUCUAUUCACAUCGUGAUUUUCGCAUUGUUUUACAACUGAAACUCAACUCUGAGGUUUGCAAGAGUCUUAUUUCGUCCAAAUGCUUAUGAAUUCGAUAAUGUGGGUUGAAAAUUUCAGCUGAAAAGCCGGAAUAUCAGCACACGCACGGCAAGCGAUGUUUGUUUUAUUGCUCUCGCCGCCUGACAUGCGUUUGUUGCGGAGCGCCUUUGUUGCCAACAUGCACCGCUUAGGACAAAGCGUUUGUUUUUCGGCGUGAUCCGUUUUUCGUACCCUGAUCAUGGGUUUCUGGAUCUAAAAAAGACGCAAUAAAGGUUGCAAAGGAAGCUUUCACUCGGGCCAGGGUUGAGAGGGCUGUGAGAUCUUUCGAGCCAUUUAAGUCUCCUGGCAUGGAUGGAAUAUUCCCAGCGUUGAUCCAAAAAGAGGAGAAAACACUGGUUCCACCCUUGGUUGAGAUUUUUAGGGCGAGUCUGAUUUUGGGGCAUAUACCCAACGAUUGGCGUCAAAUCCGGGCUGUCUUCAUUCCGAAGGCAGGAAAGAGAGAUAAAACCAACCCCAAAGCAUUCAGGCCGAUAAGUUUAUCCUCUGUAGUGCUCAAAAUUAUGGAAAAGGUACUAUGCGAGUACAUAAAUCACAAAUUUAUGAAAGCAAUGCCUUUGUCAAAAAACCAAUUCGCUUAUCAAAGUGGAAAAUCUACGAUCUCGGCACUACAUACGGUAGUUCAAAAGAUCGAAAAAACACUCAAUGCAAAAGAAAUUGCUCUUGUAGCAUUUCUUGAUAUUGAGGGCGCAUUCGAUAACGCUUCUUAUUCGUCUAUAGGGUCAGCAAUGUUGAGGAGAAAAUUCGACCCAUGCAUUGUUACCUGGGUACAUGCUAUGCUAGCUAAUCGAAAAAUCUUCUCUGAGCUUAGCGGUUCAUACAUUACUGUUAAAGCAACAAGGGGGUGUCCGCAAGGCGGAGUACUUUCUCCUUUGUUGUGGUCACUGGUGGUGGAUGAGCUUCUAGACAGCUUAGAGAGAAGAGGCUUCGAAGUGGUUGGAUAUGCUGAUGACGUUGUCAUUAUUGUACGAGGCAAAUUCGAAAGUGUUAUCGUGGAAAGAAUGCAAUCUGCCCUAAAUCACACUUUUUCCUGGUGUCAUAAGGAACAACUAGGCAUAAAUCCUACAAAAACUUCCAUUAUCCCUUUCACCAAACGGAGGAAGGUCCAACUGAAACCCCUUUUCUUGAAUCAAGCGAAGUAAAAUAUCUAGGUGUCAUACUCGACGCAAAACUGAAUUGGAACUCUCAUCUCCAAUCAGUUGUGCAGAAAGGUCUCAAUACACUUUGGGUUUGUUCAAAAACCCUGGGUGAAAGAUGGGGCCUAAAACCAAGUAUGAUCAUGUGAAUAUAUAAAACCAUUGUUCGUCCCAGGACUACUUACGCUUCCCUUGUCUGGUGACCUAAAACUAAUGAGGCUGCUGCAAGGGCGAAGCUCAACAAAAUCCAACGCACCGCUUGCAUAGCGAUCACUGGUGCAGUUCGUAGUACACCCACUUUGGCCCUAGACGCAAUGCUUCACCUGCCCCGGUUAGAUCAAUUCAUAAAGCUGGAAGCGGAAAAAAGUGCUCUAAGGUUAAAGAGAACAAAAACGCUGCUGUCGGGAGACCUUACGGGUCACCUCAGCAUAUUAAAUGAAUUUGCCAUAAAUCCCACAAUAGGAAUUUGUAGUGACUGGAUGGAAACGGUAGUCAAUUAUGACUUACCUUACGAUGUGUUCAUUCCUUCCCGCCAGGAGUGGGAAGAAGGUGGACCCAGCGUUCCAACAGGCUCUAUAAAUUUCUUCACAGAUGGUUCGAAAAUGAAUAAUCUGACAGGCUCCGGAAUCUAUGGCCCUAGAACAAAAAUCUCUGUCCACUUAGGACAGUGGCCCACAGUAUUUCAGGCGGAAAUAUAUGCAAUAUUAGAAUGCGUGUUAUUAUGCCUGAGGAGAAAGUAUAGGUUUGCAAAAAUAUGUAUUUUCUCUGACAGCCAAGCGGCACUUAAGUCGCUUAAUAACUACACUUGUAACUCAAAGCUAGUGUGGGAAUG